UCCGGAAUAGUUCAGUGGUAGAACGGCCGGCUCUGACCCGGCUCGACGCAGGUUCGAGCCCUGCUUCCGGAA
rnacentral:tRNA from 1 species